UACGUAGGUGGCGAGCGUUGUCCGGAUUUACUGGGCGUAAAGGGAGCGUAGGCGGACUUUUAAGUGAGAUGUGAAAUACUCGGGCUCAACUUGAGUGCUGCAUUUCAAACUGGAAGUCUAGAGUGCAGGAGAGGAGAAUGGAAUUCCUAGUGUAGCGGUGAAAUGCGUAGAGAUUAGGAAGAACACCAGUGGCGAAGGCGAUUCUCUGAACUGUAACUGACGCUGAGGCUCGAAAGCGUGGGGAGCAAACAGG
rnacentral:rRNA from 1 species